rnacentral:rRNA from 1 species
UUCAACGGAGAGUUUGAUCCUGGCUCAGGACGAACGCUGGCGGCGUGCUUAACACAUGCAAGUCGAGCGGUAAGGCCCUUCGGGGUACACGAGCGGCG